rnacentral:rRNA from 1 species
UACGUAGGUGGCAAGCGUUGUCCGGAAUUAUUGGGCGUAAAGCGCGCGCAGGCGGCCUUUUAAGUCUGAUGCGAAAGCCCACGGCUCAACCGUGGAAGGUCAUUGGAAACUGAAAGGCUUGAGUACAGAAGAGGAAAGCGGAAUUCCACGUGUAGCGGUGAAAUGCGUAGAGAUGUGGAGGAACACCAGUGGCGAAGGCGGCUUUCUGGUCUGUAACUGACGCUGAGGCGCGAAAGCGUGGGGAGCGAACAGG